rnacentral:tRNA from 1 species
GCAGUAAUGGUUCAAUGAUAAAAUUCUCGCCUUCCACUUGAGAGACCUGAGUUCGAUUCCCAGCCAAUGCA